CUCAAUAAUGCUGUUAUUCAAAAAAGAACAUAUGCAAAGGAAAAAAGAACAUGUGCAAGAAAAAGAGACGGCAGGGAUGUGGAAAAAUGAAAACAGCUGACUUGCCAGAAGUGGGGAAAUGGAAGGUCGUUUUCUAUUUUUUUCUGCUGUGGUUUUAAUGCUGUUUGUAAAUAAAAUGUGAAAAGAAGAGACGGAAAGAGAGAGAAACAGCCCAGGACAGGAGAUGAGAACUAACCUUGGAGGCCUAGGCUCUGAAGCUGAUUCUCUUCACUCUGCUUAUCACGGACUGUGUGCUCUAGAGAAAGUGGCCUCACCUCUCUGGGCCUCAAUUUCCUUUUCUCCGGAGUGGAAUACUAUCAGCCUCCUGAGGCUGUUGGAGGAGUACAGGAGACCUUACAUUCCCCAGAGCAGAGAGGUAGCAGCUACCCACAGUGUUUAUUAUCUUGCAUCUUCAUUUAUUUCUUUACACAAUUACGGCACAUCAGGUACAUCCUGAGGCUAUAGCUGAAUUAACCCUGGACCUUGUUCUUAAACAUCUUGGAGUUUCAAGAAGUAGAGAGACAUAAAUAACUAAAAGAAGUUCUUUGGGAAGGGCCAUAGUAAAAGAGUUCCACAUACAGCCUGCUGGACCGUGCUCUGCAUGGCCCAGAUACAUCCGAGGACUUCAACUAGGAGCUUUCGGUGAAGGGGUCGUGCCAAGAGAUGGGAACUCACAGAAGCAAGCCAGCAUCCACAAUCAGAGACCGCAGGUUGCUUCCACAGCACGCACAUUCUCAUGCGUGUUAUCACAUGCAAUCCUGACAGUGCCGGCAAGGGAUGUGUUAUUGCCCUGCCCCUGUAAGCGAGAAGAUGAAGUCUUAGACGUCAAGAGAUGGUUCUGGCAGGCGGUAGAACCUGCUACCUGCCUGCUAAAGAGAUAGACAUGCCAGGGGCGGGCACCGGGAAGGUUGAUUCCUGCUCCCAGGUGUGCUAUGGCACCCAAACCAACAACCAAAGUGCCUCUGCUUUGGUGUCGGUGGGUGGCAUAGAAAGUCUUGGAGCCCCAGAUGGCCACAUCGGCUGGUGACAUUUGGGUGACUCUGCAGUCCUCAAAAGGAUUAGGAAGCACAGCAAGCACUUCUCAAAUUCAGCUAAACCGUUUUGGUUCUGUGCUGCCUGUGGUUCACAGGCUGGUCGCUGGCAUGAUGUGCCUUCAUUAGGAUGCAGCUGGUAUGGGGCAUUCUGGCUCUGCACAAAAGGAAGGCUUGCAAACGGGAGUGAAAUUCAAAAUAUUUAACAACCGAUAGGGCACAGAGAGCAACCAGUCAGAACAGACACAAUGGCCAAGGAGAGCAAACGUUGGCUGUAAACACACGGCGCGGCCAUGGAGUACAUCCCAGCCAAACACCAGUCUUGGCAACAAGGAAGCCCAGCAUGCAAACAAGAAGAGGAUGAGCAAGGUGGUCCUGGAGCCAAUCAGGGAAAUGACGGCCUGUCCCCCGUGGAAGUCUCAGCGAGCAUCCCACUAAACCCCCAGCGCUCUGGAUUAGAAACCAUCAUUACAGGGGGAGGAGGAGGUGCUCUCAAGGCCCAGCUUCGAGAUCCACCAUCACCACGCUUUGGGGGUGCAGAGGGCCAGCUCCAAAGACAGGCGAGCCCUGAGCCACCCAAAGACACAUCUAUGAAGGCUUGGACGGCUGUGUUGCCAUGUCACCAUCCUUGGACGGCUGUGUUGCCAUGUCACCAGCUGGCUUUUCUCGCUCAUGGCCAAGGCGUGUUCAUGUGUGGUGUCCCAAAGCCAUUGUUCUGUUCUCAUUUAGAUGAGGGCACGGAGUCCCCAGGGACACAGAACAUACUUGAAUUCAUGCAAAGCAAGCCCUGGCCCCAUCAGGAGUCA
ensembl:lncRNA